rnacentral:rRNA from 1 species
GGGAAACUGGGGCCAAUCUUUGAUAGGCGUGGGCUCCUGGAAUGGACCUACACUGAAAAGGCGUCUGGAUCAUGCUUCAGACGUUGCCUAAGGAUGAGGCCGCAACCGAUCAGGUUGUUGGCGAGGUAACGGCUCACCGAGCCUAUAACCGGUACGGGCCGCGGGAGCGGUAGCCCGGAGAUGGACACUGAGACAAGGGUCCAGGCCCUACGGGGCGCAGCAGUUACGAAAACUCCGCAAUGCACGAAAGUGUGACGGGGCUAUCCCGAGUGCCGUCCGCUGAGGAUGGCUUUCCUCCAGUUUAAGGAGCUGGAGGAAUAAGGAGAGGGCAAGUCUGGCGUCAGCCGCCGCGGUAAUACAAGCUCCUCCGAGGUGGUAGGGACGACUAUUGGGCUUAAAGCGUCCGUAGCCGGCCCAGCAAGUCCUCCGUUAAAUCCAGCGAUUCAAUCGUUGGACUGCGGGGGAUACUGUUGGCUAGGGGACGAGAGAGGCCGACGGUUUUCUCGGAGUAGGGGUUGAAAUCCUAUAAUUCCGGGAGGACCACCAGGUGGCGAAGGCUGUCGGCUAGAACGAGCUCGACGGUGAGGGACGAAAGCUGGGGGAGCGAACUGUAUUAGAUACCCGGGUAGUCCCAGCUGUAAACGAUGCGGGCUAGGUGUUAGGGUGGCUACGUGCACUCUAGGUGCCGCAGAGAAGGCUUAAGCCCGCCGCCUGUGGAGUACGGCCGCAAGCUGAAACUU